rnacentral:rRNA from 1 species
CCCUUAGAUGUUCUGGGCCGCACGCGCGCUACACUGAUGCAUUCAACGAGUUUUUCCUGGUCCGAGAGGAAUGGGUAACCUUUUGAAAGUGCAUCGUGCUAGGGAUAGACUAUUGCAAUUAUUGGUCUUCAACGAGGAAUUCCUAGUAGACGUAGUUCAUCAGACUGCAUCGAUUACGUCCCUGCCCUUUGUACACACCGCCCGUCGCUCCUACCGAUUGAAUGGUCCGGUGAAAAUUUCGGAUACCGGCAUUGCUGGCGGUUCGCCGCCGGCGACGCUGGUAGAAGAUCUUUAAACCUUAUCAUUUAGAGGAAGGAGAAGUCGUANCA